rnacentral:rRNA from 1 species
UGCCAGCCGCCGCGGUAAUACGGAGGGUGCAAGCGUUAAUCGGAAUUACUGGGCGUAAAGCGCGCGUAGGCGGUUUGGCAAGUCAGAUGUGAAAGCCCUGGGCUCAACCUGGGAACUGCAUUCGAUACUGCCAGACUAGAGUAUGUUAGAGGAAGGUGGAAUUCCAGGUGUAGCGGUGAAAUGCGUAGAUAUCUGGAGGAACAUCAGUGGCGAAGGCGACCUUCUGGGACAAUACUGACGCUGAGGUGCGAAAGCGUGGGGAGCAAACAGGAUUAGAUA